UGCUCUGCUUUGGGAUACCGAGCCAUCGCCGAGGUCUGUCCCAUGCAGCUGGUGGGCCCUGUGAAUGCACAGCCCCGCGUCACCUCUUCCGUCCUGCCCCUGGAGAGUUUCUCAGGGUAUAAGGGCUUGAGGAAACUCGGGAUAGCACAGGCUGCAUGUCUGUGAGUCACUCGGUGUGCGAAAUGUUUGCGCAGUCAUCCCAGGACUUUCCACCCAAUCUUUGAGCUGGGUUAUGGAACAGAAGCAGAUGAGCCAAUUAAAAGAAAAACAAUACAUCAGUCCCUGAUCUGAAGAAGGACCGGCACAUCUCAGAUGUGCUGGAACAGCUGUCACUGGGCAGACAACGCCAUUGCAAAACGUCCUGUUCGGCUGCAUGUAUUUACGCAUAAAUAGAUGUUCCUUCCCCUCCAGUUACCUCUGUGCUACUGUUAUUCCCAAACGCCUUGGAGCACAGGCCUUUCAUCUUGUGAACCUUUGGGAACAAAGAAAGGAUCUGAAGGACAUCUGAUUCCAUGCCAUCCAAAUCUGGUAGCUGCUCACUGUUGGUGCAGAUAUGAAGAUGUGGUGCUUGUACGCCUCGGGACAUCACACCUAUGCUACGUACUUCAGCUGCCCGGAAGCACUAAUUGUGCAGCUGGCUGAGAGCGUGCAAGAAUGGCAGCGCUAGCGGUGGAAGGGAGACCCAGAUCUCCCAAGUACCAGACCAGCAGCUCCUUCAAGGUGCACCCUUCUGCACAGUAUUUGCUCUGGUGGCUGUGUGGUGCUCAGCUCUUCUGUCCCUGAAGUAGAGCCUGGGCUGGGGCCAAUGCUGGCUGCAGCUGAUGGAGAAAGCCCCAGUGUUCUGGAGGUGAGCAGACUUCUUUUCAAUGUUUCCUUCUGGGUAGCUCUGGAAAUUUGGGACUUUUGGUCUGCGAGAUUGAAUUUCAGCUUUAAAAGAUUGUUUGAAAUUACCUGUUUGUUCAUACAAAUUAACUGUGAAACUGCUUUUGCAAUUAAGCACCAGAUAUUUCUGUUAAGAAUCACCUGCUACUACAAGUAACGUCCAGAAAAUGAGUGAAAUUCUGGCAUUUUCUAUAACUCUUUGUGCAAAGUCAGUGACAGAAUUAGGCUGUCAGUUGAGACGUGUCAACCUAGGAAAAGAACCUUAGUUCAACUUGAUAAUUUUAUUUCUGUUGGGGUUUCUUUUUUGUCUGAAUUGAGCUUUGCUGGAAUUCGCACUGUUGCUGUCCCUGGUACAGAAGAACUGGUAGCAAGUGACCUCUGGAUGCAGACAGGUCUCCUUGUUGGGUGUGACGGCAGGGAAGGUUUCAACCAGCUUGUGCAGCCAAGGGUGCUCUUUUCCCAGGGAUGCUGCUAAUCACCCUGGCACUGCUUCUCUUGCUUUCUCCAUUUCGUGUGGUAUUGGUUUAAAAAAAUGAAACAAAUUUUUUUUCCACUGCUGGCUCAAAGUACUUUUGCUCAUGGCAAUUUUCAUAUUGUUGGGAGUAAAUAUCUGUAUGUUUGAGUCAAGAUUGGAGCCUCUAGUAAGGAAAAAAAGAGAGAAACCAGACCGCAAUCAACACUGAUCUUUGUGUUAUUGGUGGUAACGGUCUUUAUAUGACAUGGUAUUGGGUAAUUCUAAGCAGCUUUUGUUCUAUAGGGG
ensembl:lncRNA